UAUUGCCAACUAGUGAUGAGCAAACCUCAGAAGUUCAGAAUUUCACUUUGGAUACCCACCCUGAAGUUUAGAUGUUACUUGAAACUUAUCAAAACCUCUACAGUAGAAAUGAAUAGAAAAUCUCAGUCUUCUGGAAAGAUUUCUGCUACUUCCUUAUUCCAUCUAAUUUGGAAAUCCUGUAAGAAAAGAAUUGUUCAUGCUGUUUUGGCUGUUCUGAUUCCUGUGCCUGUUCAAACGAAGAUGUGGAGGAGGGAAGCCUGCGAUACUCCUGGUUGUCAAUAGAUGACUGAGGGCAUGUCUACACUUACCUCUGGAAUGAUUGAUCCAGCUCUCCCGUCAACUCUGGUACUCCACCGGAGUGCGAAGUGUAGGCGGAGUCGACGGGAAGGCGUCAGCAGUCGACAUACCGCAGUGAAGACACCACAAUGAUCUUUGUUCCUGUGAUAAGUACAUCAUCACAAGAGAGAGGCAGCUGACGUGAAUGCUGGUCUCCCCGCACCUUCCUUGAUCUGCUACUGAGCUCAUUCUGGGUCCGUUUGGGAGUUAUAAAGAAAUGUUUGUGAGCAAGGACUAACAGGACAAGUACGACACAGACUCAUAUUAUUUUCUUUCUUCCCUCUUGAGAUGUAAACCAUCUUCAAAUUACGAAGACAAAUGGCCUGGCCUGCCUUGCGUGAGUGAGAUCCAGAAAUCUAUUGCAGCAUUUGUUUGAAUUUGAGCCCUUAAGGCUAGACUGAUGCUUCUGUCAGUGAGCUCUCUCUUACAGAAGGGCCA